GACGAAGGUGGCAAGCGUUGUUCGGAAUCACUGGGCUUAAAGGGCACGUAGGCGGCUUGCCAAGCGUCUUGUGAAAUCCCUCGGCUCAACCGAGGAAUUGCAGGGCGAACUGGCAGGCUUGAGGCAGGUAGGGGCGCGUGGAACUCUUGGUGGAGCGGUGGAAUGCGUAGAUAUCAAGAGGAACGCCGGUGGCGAAAGCGACGCGCUGGGCCUGUCCUGACGCUGAGGUGCGAAAGCCAGGGGAGCGAACGGGAUUAGAUACCCCAGUA
rnacentral:rRNA from 1 species